rnacentral:tRNA from 1 species
ACGUAGAUAGAAUGGUAGUUCGUCUGCUUUGUAAGCGGUGGACCGCGGGUUCGAUUCCCGCCCGGGGUU